AUGGCCACGCCCGCCCUCGCCUCCCUUGGCCACACCAUCACCGAGAAGUUGAACCGGGAGAACUUCCUUGUCUGGAGGGCUCAGGUGCUGCCGCACAUCAGGGCGGCCGGCAUGAUGGGCUUCCUGGACGGCUCUUUCAAGGAGCCUGCCGCUGAGAUCCAAACGGAGACGGAGGUCUCCGGCAAGAAGAUGAUCACCACCAACCCCAACCCGCAGCAUGCCGUAUGGGUGACCCAGGAUCAGCAGGUUCUUUCGUUUUUGAUCGCAACCCUCUCUCGCGAAGUCCUUCUGCAGGUCAGUAAU
rnacentral:rRNA from 1 species